rnacentral:rRNA from 1 species
UACGUAGGGUGCAAGCGUUAAUCGGAAUUACUGGGCGUAAAGCGUGCGCAGGCGGUUAUGCAAGACAGAGGUGAAAUUCCCGGGCUCAACCUGGGAACUGCCUUUGUGACUGCAUAGCUAGAGUACGGUAGAGGGGGAUGGAAUUCCGCGUGUAGCAGUGAAAUGCGUAGAUAUGCGGAGGAACACCGAUGGCGAAGGCAAUCCCCUGGACCUGUACUGACGCUCAUGCACGAAAGCGUGGGGAGCAAACAGG